rnacentral:rRNA from 1 species
AGAGUUUGAUCCUGGCUCAGAACGAACGUUGGCGGCGUGGAUUAGGCAUGCAAGUCGAACGAGAAAGCUUCCUUCGGGAAGUGAGUAGAGUGGCGAACGGGUGAGUAACGCGUGGGAAACCUGCCGCAGAGUGGGGGAUAACAUCCCUAACGGGGUGCUAAUACCGCAUACGUCGAGGAGUCGCAUGGCUCCUUGGGAAAGGUGGCCUCUCCUUGGAAGCUGCCGCUCUGUGAUGGUCCCGCGUCCCAUUAGCUUGUUGGUGGGGUAACGGCCUACCAAGGCGACGAUGGGUAGCCGGCCUGAGAGGGUGUCCGGCCACACUGGGACUGAGAUACGGCCCAGACUCCUACGGGAGGCAGCAGUCGAGAAGCUUCGGCAAUGGGCGAAAGCCUGACCGAGCGACGCCGCGUGAGCGAUGAAGGCCCUAGUGGUUGUAAAGCUCUGUCAGCAGGGAAUAAAGCCGGGGAACGAAUAAUUCCCCGGUCUGAAGGUACCUGCAGAGGAAGCUCCGGCUAACUCCGUGCCAGCAGCCGCGGUAAUACGGAGGGAGCAAGCGUUGUUCGGAAUUACUGGGCGUAAAGGGCGCGUAGGCGGCCUGGUAAGUCGCGUGUGAAAGGCCGGGGCUCAACCCCGAGCACUGCAUGUGAUACUGCCUGGCUAGAGAGAGGUAGGGGCGAGCGGAAUUCCCGGUGUAGCGGUGGAAUGCGUAGAUAUCGGGAAGAACACCUGUGGCGAAGGCGGCUCGCUGGACCUUUUCUGACGCUGAAGCGCGAAAGCGUGGGGAGCAAACAGGAUUAGAUACCCUGGUAGUCCACGCCGUAAACGCUGGGUACUAGGUGUUGGGGGGAUUGACCCUUCCAGUGCCGGCGCUAACGCAUUAAGUACCCCGCCUGGGGAGUACGGCCGCAAGGCUGAAACUCAAAGGAAUUGACGGGGGCCCGCACAAGCGGUGGAGCAUGUGGUUUAAUUCGACGCAACGCG